GUGAAAACUUCCCGAUGGUUCCCACUCUGGAGACCUCCUACCUUGCGCGGGCUGCAAAAGAACGAGUUCCUGAACUUGGUGCCUGAUAUUGAAGAAAUGCGACCAGGGUCCACAGCGGGGACAGGUCUCUCCAUCACCAGGAUCAGCUCUCUGCCAAAGUCAAACCACUCCAACAGAGACACUGGGGCUGAUGUUUCCACUGAUCCAUCUGCUUCAGCUGCAAGCUUCAGCAUGAUGGCAACUUCCACUGACACAUUCUUCCCGUUAUCAUCCUGAAAUAUUUCAACAAAGUGGAUGAUGAGGCACAGACGUUCCACAGAAAAAGAAAGUGCCCAGCCCAGCAGGAUGAAGAUGGGCCAUACGUCAAGAAGCCGCCAAAUGCCUUCAUGCUCUAUCUCAAAGAGCAGAGGCCAAAGGUCAUUGCUGAACUCAACAUCCCUGGAAGUGCAGCCGUAAAUGCAGUGGUGGGACAGAGAUGGAAGUCGCUUUCAAACGACCAGAAAGCCAGAUAUUUCAAGCAGGACUCAUUGGACUCCCCUGUUGCAGCCCUUCAGUUCCAGACAGAGGAAGCCUUUGUCGCAGACAGUGAGGAAGAACUGCUGUCAGUGCUGGAAGAGCUCGACCCCCUCCCCAUCACUGCGCAGUCUCAGCAGCCCUCACCCACCCCUGCCUCUCCUGUAGAUGCCUCUCAAACUGCAUCAGUUCAACCCCGAGUUGAAUUAUUUCAAGACCGAGAUGAGCCCAUCUGUUUUGCUGAAAUCCAAGAAGACAUGUGGUCAGUGCUUGACUACCUCCCCGUCUCUCAGCAGUCUAAUGUGCUCUCCUCUCCUCAUUCACACAACUACUCGACUCCUAAACAAAAUCUCAUCUGUCCUGCUGAUUCCCCUCCAUCCAAACUGGCGUCCUCCCCUGUUGCAUUCACUGAAUUGCCGUCAACAACCCCCAUCUUUUGCCAACUAAUGAAAAACAAUAAUUUCAUUAUAGACGAUUGGACUGAUUUCAAUUGAAUUAAACUGUUACUCCUGUUAUUUCAACAUCUGUCUUUGUGUAAA
ensembl:lncRNA